rnacentral:rRNA from 1 species
GACGAACGCUGGCGGCGUGCUUAACACAUGCAAGUCGAACGAUGCCCCCUGAGCUUGCUCCGGUGGAUUAGUGGCGAACGGGUGAGUAACACGUGAGUAACCUGCCCUUGACUCUGGGAUAACUGCGGGAAACUGUAGCUAAUACCGGAUACGACCCUCGGCGGCAUCGCCAGGGGGUGGAAAGAAUUUCGGUCAAGGAUGGACUCGCGGCCUAUCAGCUAGUUGGUGAGGUAACGGCUCACCAAGGCGACGACGGGUAGCCGGCCUGAGAGGGGGACCGGGCACACUGGGACUGAUACACGGCCCAGACUCCUACGGGAGGCAGCAGUGGGGAAUAUUGCACAAUGGGCGCAAGCCUGACUCGGCAACGCCGCGUGAGGGAUGACGGCCUUCGGGUUGUAAACCUCUUUUAGUAGGGAAGAAGCGAAAGUGACGGUACCUGCAGAAAAAGCACCGGCUUACUACGUGCCAGCCGCCGCGGUAA